rnacentral:rRNA from 1 species
UACAGAGGUCUCAAGCGUUGUUCGGAUUCAUUGGGCGUAAAGGGUGUGUAGGUGGCGCGCUAAGUCGGGUGUGAAAUUUCGGAGCUUAACUCCGAAACUGCAUUCGAUACUGGCGUGCUUGAGGACUGGAGGGGAGACUGGAAUUCUCGGUGUAGCAGUGAAAUGCGUAGAUAUCGAGAGGAACACCAGUGGCGAAGGCGAGUCUCUGGACAUUUCCUGACGCUGAGGCACGAAAGCCAGGGGAGCAAACGGG